CCCACGGAUGUGUACUGAAACUCAAUAUUUCUGAAACGUCUUCCUCGCGGCAUAUUGUAAUCUAGUAUGCACAAAAAAGAAUCAAUAUUAGUUAAAUAUUAAAAGUACAUUACUUUUAAUAUUCUUAUAAAAGAAGCAUUUGAUGUAGGAAAGAGCUCUCCUUGUCAUUUGUUAGGUUGCCUGUACUUGCAGUCACACAUAAUAAAGAACUCCAUCAACAAUAUAAGCAAAAAAGUUACGAUAUCUGAAAAUCCGGAAUAAAAA
rnacentral:lncRNA from 1 species